GUUUAUUAAUUGAUCUGUACUUAUGUGUGCGUGUGUGUUUUUCAGGAGGAAUUGAAGGAAUGGGAUCUGUAGUGUCUCUUGCUGCUUGGUGAUGCUAAUGUAAAGAUGACCGAGAGAUUACUUUGGUCCGACAUCAGUAUCCGACAGAUGAGAAGCCUUGAAGCCAUGCCUACCAAGCGAUUUCGACAAUCUGUUUAUGUUCUGCUCUUCUCAUGAACCUUGUGAUCUCAUGUCGGCACAAGAGAACGAAACUGGUAUGUGGUUCUGCACAAGAGAAUGAAACAUAAGUCUUUGUGUUUUUCCUUCCCGUGUACACAUUUUGUGUUUUUCCUUCCCAUGAACACAUUUUGUGUUUUUCUUUCCACAAUUAUUGUUCAAUAAACUUGUAUAUAUAGCAAACUAGAAUCAGCUACUCUUGAUUGUAAGCACUCUUAUAUUCAAUCUGCUUCAUUUUCAAGUUUCAAAUA